UACGUAGGGUGCAAGCGCUGUCCGGAAUUAUUGGGCGUAAAGAGCUUGUAGGUGGCUCGUUGCGUCGGGAGUGAAAACCUGCGGCUUAACCGCAGGCCUGCUUCCGAUACGGGCGAGCUAGAGUUCGGCAGGGGAGACUGGAAUUCCUGGUGUAGCGGUGGAAUGCGCAGAUAUCAGGAGGAACACCGGUGGCGAAGGCGGGUCUCUGGGCCGAUACUGACACUGAGAAGCGAAAGCGUGGGGAGCGAACAGG
rnacentral:rRNA from 1 species